rnacentral:rRNA from 1 species
GACGAACGCUGGCGGCGUGCUUAACACAUGCAAGUCGAGCGGUAAGGCCCUUUCGGGGGUACGACGAGCGGCGAACGGGUGAGUAACACGUGGGUGACCUGCCCUCAGCUCUGGGAUAAGCCUGGGAAACCGGGUCUAAUACUGGAUAUGACUCCAUGACGCAUGUUGUGGGGUGGAAAGCCUUGUGCGGCUGAGGAUGGGCCCGCGGCCUAUCAGCUUGUUGGUGGGGUGANGGCCUACCAAGGCGACGACGGGUAGCCGGCCUGAGAGGGCGACCGGCCACACUGGGACUGAGACACGGCCCAGACUCCUACGGGAGGCAGCAGUGGGGAAUCUUGCGCAAUGGGCGAAGGCCUGACGCAGCGACGCCGCGUGAGGGAUGACGGCCU